GAUGAACGCUGGCGGCGUGCCUAAUACAUGCAAGUCGAACGCAUUGAGAGAAGUGCUUGCACUUUUCAAUUUGAGUGGCGAACAGGUGAGUAACACGUGGGCAACCUACCUGAUAGCGGGGGAUAACGAGUGGAAACAUUCGCUAAUACCGCAUAACAAUAGAGAAGGCAUCUUCUUUAUUUAAAAGGCGCUCUCAAGCGUCACUAUCAGAAGGGCCCGCGGUGCAUUAGUUAGUUGGUGGGGUGAAGGCCUACCAAGACGAUGAUGCAUAGCCGAGUUGAGAGACUGAUCGGCCACAUUGGGACUGAGACACGGCCCAAACUCCUACGGGAGGCUGCAGUAGGGAAUCUUCCACAAUGGACGAAAGUCUGAUGGAGCAACGCCGCGUGUGUGAUGAAGGCUUUCGGGUCGUAAAGCACUGUUGUAUGGGAAGAAAUGCUAGGCUAGGAAAUGAGCUUAGUUUGACGGUACCAUACCAGAAAGGGACGGCUAAAUACGUGCCAGCCGCCGCCGUAA
rnacentral:rRNA from 1 species